rnacentral:rRNA from 1 species
AAAUGGCCGCAGUAUUUUAACUGUGCAAAGGUAGCAUAAUCAUUAGUCUUUUAAUUGAAGGCUUGUAUGAAUGGUUGGACGAAAUAUUAACUGUUUCAUAAAAAUUGAUUUAGAAUUUUAUUUUUUAGUCAAAAAGCUAAAAUUUAUUUAAAAGACGAGAAGACCCUAUAGAUCUUUAUAUUUUAUAUAUUAUAAUUAUGUAGAUUAUUUAGGUUAUGAUUAUAUAAGGUAUUUUGUUGGGGUGACAUUAAAAUUUAAUUAACUUUUAAUUAAUAUUUACAUUAAUUUAUGAUUAAUUGAUCCACUAUUAGUGAUUAGAAAAUUAAGUUACCUUAGGGAUAACAGCGUAAUUUUUUUGAAGAGUUCAUAUCGAUAAAAAAGAUUGCGACCUCGAUGUUGGAUUAAGAUAUAAUUUUGGGUGCAGCAAUUCAAAUAUUAAGUC